rnacentral:rRNA from 1 species
GUUGGUGAGGUAACGGCUCACCAAGGCGACGAUCCCUAGCUGGUCUGAGAGGAUGACCAGCCACACUGGAACUGAGACACGGUCCAGACUCCUACGGGAGGCAGCAGUGGGGAAUAUUGCACAAUGGGCGCAAGCCUGAUGCAGCCAUGCCGCGUGUAUGAAGAAGGCCUUCGGGUUGUAAAGUACUUUCAGCGGGGAGGAAGGUGUUGUGGUUAAUAACCGCAGCAAUUGACGUUACCCGCAGAAGAAGCACCGGCUAACUCCGUGCCAGCAGCCGCGGUAAUACGGAGGGUGCAAGCGUUAAUCGGAAUUACUGGGCGUAAAGCGCACGCAGGCGGUCUGUCAAGUCGGAUGUGAAAUCCCCGGGCUCAACCUGGGAACUGCAUUCGAAACUGGCAGGCUUGAGUCUUGUAGAGGGGGGUAGAAUUCCAGGUGUAGCGGUGAAAUGCGUAGAGAUCUGGAGGAAUACCGGUGGCGAAGGCGGCCCCCUGGACAAAGACUGACGCUCAGGUGCGAAAGCGUGGGGAGCAAACAGGAUUAGAUACCCUGGUAGUCCACGCCGUAAACGAUGUCUACUUGGAGGUUGUGCCCUUGAGGCGUGGCUUCCGGAGCUAACGCGUUAAGUAGACCGCCUGGGGAGUACGGCCGCAAGGUUAAAACUCAAAUGAAUUGACGGGGGCCCGCACAAGCGGUGGAGCAUGUGGUUUAAUUCGAUGCAACGCGAAGAACCUUACCUGGUCUUGACAUCCACGGAAGUUUUCAGAGAUGAGAAUGUGCCUUCGGGAACCGUGAGACAGGUGCUGCAUGGCUGUCGUCAGCUCGUGUUGUGAAAUGUUGGGUUAAGUCCCGCAACGAGCGCAACCCUUAUCCUUUGUUGCCAGCGGUCCGGCCGGGAACUCAAAGGAGACUGCCAGUGAUAAACUGGAGGAAGGUGGGGAUGACGUCAAGUCAUCAUGGCCCUUACGACCAGGGCUACACACGUGCUACAAUGGCGCAUACAAAGAGAAGCGACCUCGCGAGAGCAAGCGGACCUCAUAAAGUGCGUCGUAGUCCGGAUUGGAGUCUGCAACUCGACUCCAUGAAGUCGGAAUCGCUAGUAAUCGUGGAUCAGAAUGCCACGGUGAAUACGUUCCCGGGCCUUGUACACACCGCCCGUCACACCAUGGGAGUGGGUUGCAAAAGAAGUAGGUAGCUUAACCUUCGGGAGGGCGCUUACCACUUUGUGAUUCAUGACUGGGGUGAAGUCGUAACAAGGUAACCGUAGGGGAACCUGCGGUUGGAUCACCUCCUUA